AUAUACGAGACCGUACCGCAAACCGACACAGGUGGGCGAGAUGAGUAUUCUAAGGCGCUUGAGAGAACUCGGGAGAAGGAACUCGGCAAAUUGGUACCGUAACUUCGGGAAAAGGUACGCCCUUGUAGCUUGGCUGAUUUACUUCAGUAGGGCGAACGGGUUGCAAUAAACUGGUGGCUGCGACUGUUUAAUAAAAACACAGCACUCUGCAAACACGAAAGUGGACGUAUAGGAUGUGACGCCUGCCCGGUGCUGGAAGAUUAAAUGAUGGGGUGCAAGCUCUUGAUUGAAGUCCCAGUAAACGGCGGCCGUAACUAUAACGGUCCUAAGGUAGCGAAAUUCCUUGUCGGGUAAGUUCCGACCUGCACGAAUGGCGUAACGAUGGCCACACUGUCUCCUCCCGAGACUCAGCGAAGUUGAAGUGUUUGUGAUGAUGCAAUCUACCCGCGGCUAGACGGAAAGACCCCAUGAACCUUUACUGUAGCUUUGCAUUGGACUUUGAAUCAAUCUGUGUAGGAUAGGUGGGAGGCCUUGAAGCGGGGACGCCAGUUCUCGUGGAGCCAACCUUGAAAUACCACCCUGGUUCAUUUGAGGUUCUAACCUUGGCCCGUUAUCCGGGUCGGGGACAGUGCAUGGUAGGCAGUUUGACUGGGGCGGUCUCCUCCUAAAGUGUAACGGAGGAGUUCGAAGGUACGCUAGGUACGGUCGGACAUCGUGCUAAUAGUGCAAUGGCAUAAGCGUGCUUAACUGCGAGACUGACAAGUCGAGCAGGUACGAAAGUAGGACAUAGUGAUCCGGUGGUUCUGUAUGGAAGGGCCAUCGCUCAACGGAUAAAAGGUACUCUGGGGAUAACAGGCUGAUUCCUCCCAAGAGUUCAUAUUGACGGGGGAGUUUGGCACCUCGAUGUCGGCUCAUCACAUCCUGGGGCUGUAGCCGGUCCCAAGGGUAUGGCUGUUCGCCAUUUAAAGUGGUACGUGAGCUGGGUUUAAAACGUCGUGAGACAGUUUGGUCCCUAUCUGCCGUGGGCGUUGGAAAUUUGAAGGGGGCUGCUCCUAGUACGAGAGGACCGGAGUGGACAGACCUCUGGUGUACCGGUUGUCACGCCAGUGGCAUUGCCGGGUAGCUAAGUCUGGAAGAGAUAACCGCUGAAAGCAUCUAAGCGGGAAACUUGCCUUAAGAUGAGAUUUCCCAGAGCCUUGAGCUCUUUGAAGGGUCGUUCGAGACCAGGACGUUGAUAGGUCAGGUGUGGAAGUGAAAAC
rnacentral:rRNA from 1 species